GCAUUGUUUGAUGCAAGUGAAAUCUGGUGCCAUUUCUGAGAAAUAGAAACUUUAAAAUAGAGUUAAGUUUCUGAUUUGACAUCAGAGGCGUGCCCAACUUCAUAAAGAUUGUUAUGAGAGUGAGUUCAACAGUUCUGGAAGAACAUCUUAUCUGACACACUGCGGAGCACCAAGCUUAAAUCUUCAGGCAUCUGUGCUGAAGACAGCGCCAUUAACAAGAGAGAAAACCUAUCUUCAUGCUAUUGGAAGUAUUGCCUGCUCUUUUCUGGAGAUCUGCUAAAGCACACAAACAGCUCAUUCAGACCCCAGGAUCUGCUUCAUUGGAGACCGUUUCUACUGGAUCUUUCACUGCUGACUUCCCAACACCAUGCAGGCUCUUCUGGGACUCCUCUUCUUUUCUGGGCUCCUUGCCACAGGUGCCUCUUUGGAGUGUGAAACGUGCAUAGGCGUUGGAGAGCGGCCCUGUACUGGAAGCAAGCUAACUUGUCGCCAAGGUCUAGAUAUCUGUGCCACCAUUUGGACUGAAACCACAGCAUUUGGGCAAACUGUCGUAUCCACUGCAAAGAGUUGCUCUUCAAAGCAUAUCUGUAGUGGUAAAGGCCAAAAUGAAGUUCAAGGGCCCACUCAAAUUACCAAGGUAGAAUGUAGCAAGGCCUCUGCUUCACCUGCCUCCCUUCUUCUUGCCCUUGUGGGGGUCCUGCUGAUGAAAGGCUUCCUGUAGUGCUCCUCUCCCACUGACUCAGCAUGGAAGAAGGUCUCAUCCUCCAUCCCUCACACCAUUCACUGGAGUCCACGACGUGACAGAGGGACCUGCCUCCUCCUUUGUUUUAUGGAGUGACCUUGAAUAAAGCUGUCCUGGAAAUGA